UACGUAGGGACCAAGCGUUGUUCGGAAUUACUGGGCGUAAAGCGCGUGUAGGCGGCCCGCUAAGUCUGAUGUGAAAGCCCGGGGCUCACCCCCGGAAGUGCAUUGGAGACUGGCGGGCUCGAGUCCCGGAGAGGAGGGUGGAAUUCCUGGUGUAGCGGUGAAAUGCGUAGAUAUCAGGAGGAACACCGGUGGCGAAGGCGGCCCUCUGGACGGUGACUGACGCUGAGACGCGAAAGCGUGGGGAGCAAACAGG
rnacentral:rRNA from 1 species